AAUAUAAAACAAGAAUUAUCAAUCCCUAAUUUCAGAAACCCUUACUUCGUUGAAACACUACACCAUGACGUUGUUCUCCUGGAUGGCCUUUGUGUCGAUCUCCGAUCCUAUUGCGUUCUUCGACGAUCUUCUCCGGUGACAUCUCCUCCGGCAUCGAUCUCCAUCGAUGACAUCUCCUACAGCGGCGAUUUCCUCCGGUGACGUCUCCUCCAGCUCUCUCCUUGUCGUCCUCUGUGUCUUCUCUACCAAAAUCGUCAAUGCCUUCCUCUACGACGAUCCAGGUUAGCUUUCUUUCCUUCAUUUCUUCUCCUUUCCUUCCUUUUUGAUGAGUCUCUCCUUUCCUUCCUUACCAUUCAGAUCCGCCGCUAGGGAUUGCGUUUCGCAGGAGAGGAAUUCCUUUGUCAACUUUCAAGCCAAAACCGGUGUAGAGGUGGAGAGCUUGGUAGGAAUUUGAAUUUUUCAUCCAUCUUAGAAAUGCUCCCAUUGUGAAUUCACAGACCCUUGAAGAAGUUGGAAGACUUAAAAAGUGUGUGGUUUUGGCAAGUGGGAAACAAGAGAGGAAGUUUUUGAACAUUUAAUAGUCAAGCCAUUUCCAGAAAACUACAAAGUCUGGUAUUGGCAUGGUGAAGAAGUAGUUGGAGUCGGGUCACAAGCUCAUCAAACUAGUCAUAUUGUACAAGAUGAUUUGACAUCUCAACAUCCAAUGGUAAUAAUGCUCAAUGACGCAUUUGGGGUUGCUGGACCUGACUUGAAUAAGGAUGGAGAUGGAGAUGAAGACAACAUAGAAGAUGGAGAUGGAAAUAAUGCAGAAAAUGAAGAGCACAAUAGAGAAAAUAUAGAAUUUUACAAGUUGUUGGAAGAUGGUAAUGAACAAUUGUAUGAAGGGGGCACAAAGUAUUUAAAAUUGUCUUUUUUGAUUAGUCUAUAUCACAUAAAGUGCUUAUAUAGAAUAAGCGACAAAACCAUGACCGAUGUAAGAACCGCGUCUAAUCAACCGAUUAAUUAAGUGAUUAUAUUGCCCAAAUUAGAUUCUGAAAAGUUAAAGUGAUAAUUUGAGGAUUUAGAGGUGAUUUUUGGAUUCAGUAGGUCUUUCUGAGUCAGAAAAUGUGUUUUCUGUAAAAAACCGUGAAACACUACAAACCGGUAGUCGAACCGGCUGAACCGGUUCAAGUCUGCCCGGUACUACGCUAGAAAAAUUAAAAACAGUAGAAAAUCUUAGAAAAAUAUUUAAAGUCGAAAAUCAGGCGUUAAUUUUAAAGGUCUGGCCCGAAGUUGGGCCAAACGGACUAAAAACGCUAAUGGGUUGGAUCGGGCCCAAGUUGGGCCCAAGCCCAACAAUAUAUAAGUGUAUCAAGUGGCCAUUUCAGCCACUUUCAUACACAACAAGCACCAGCAACGUUGAGUGAGAGAAGAGAGGUUAGGGUUACAAGAAGUACUAUUCACAUUCAUCUUCUUUCUCUUAUAACUUGAGCUACGGAGCUUCGAUUUACGUGCCGUCACUUGCUACGCGAAGCUCUCACCAAGCCCGUUAGUUUCAUCUAACCAAAGAGGUAUGAAUCUCGAAAAUUUCCUUCCAGUCUUCUGCUAUAAGAAAUUCAGAUUUUUGGGUUUGGGUUUUAAGUGAUCUUUGUGAUUUUGGGUAUUUAGGUACACUCUAACCUUUGAUUCCUAUUGGGUUUUACCCUAAUCAUCUUUGGGUAAGGUGAGCAACUCAAAUCUCUUGUGGUUAUGUGAAUUUGAUAAAUCUCUUGUUGAAUUACUGUAAAUUAUGUGUAUAUAGAUUGAGAUUGUGAUUAUUGGCAUUUGAUUUGGAGCUUUGGAGUGAUUGGUGAUGCUUGUUGGAGUUAGGUUGGUGACUUGGAUUGUGGUUGGAAGCUCAAAUUUUACUCAG